ensembl:misc_RNA Metazoa_SRP Metazoan signal recognition particle RNA
GCCGGGCAUGAUGGCUCAUGCCUGUAAUCCCAGCACUUUGGGAGGCCGAGGUGGGAGGAUUGCUUGAGCCCAGGAGUUCAAGGCCAGCCUGGGCAACAAAGUGAGACUCUGUCUCUU